rnacentral:rRNA from 1 species
UUGAUUACGUCCCUGCCCUUUGUACACACCGCCCGUCGCUGCCCGGGACUGAGCCAUUUCGAGAAACUUGGGGACUGCUGAUCCGGUGGCUACGGCCUCCGCUUCGGUGGAAACCAAUUUAAUCGCAGUGGCUUGAACCGGGCAAAAGUCGUAACAAGGUAGCUGUAGGUGAACCUGCUGCUGGAUCAUUACACGUACCGUGAUGGU